ACACAAUGUCGGAAUUCGGCUCUCUCAGACCGGGAUAACUCCGGGAAACCGGAGCUAAUACCGGAUAACACCGAAGACCGCAUGGUCUUCGGUUGAAAGGCGGCCUUUGGGCUGUCACUUGCGGAUGGGCCCGCGGCGCAUUAGCUAGUUGGUGAGGUAACGGCUCACCAAGGCGACGAUGCGUAGCCGGCCUGAGAGGGUGACCGGCCACACUGGGACUGAGACACGGCCCAGACUCCUACGGGAGGCAGCAGUAGGGAAUCUUCCGCAAUGGGCGAAAGCCUGACGGAGCGACGCCGCGUGAGCGAAGAAGGCCUUCGGGUCGUAAAGCUCUGUUGUGAGGGACGAAGGAGCGCCGUUCGAAGAGGGCGGCGCGGUGACGGUACCUCACGAGAAAGCCCCGGCUAACUACGUGCCAGCAGCCGCGGUAAUACGUAGGGGGCGAGCGUUGUCCGGAAUUAUUGGCGUAAGCGCGCGCAGGCGGUCUCUUAAGUCUGAUGUGAAAGCCACGGCUCAACCGUGAGGGUCAUUGAAACUGGGGGACUUGAGGCAGGAGAGGAGAGCGGAAUUCACGUGUAGCGGUGAAUGGCGUAGAGAUGUGGAGGAACACCAGUGGCGAGGCGCUCCUCUGGCCUGACCUGACGCUGAGGCGCGAAAGCGUGGGGGAGCAAACAGGAUAAGAUACCCUGGUAGUCCCGCCCGUAACGGAUGAGUGCUAGUGUUUAAAGGUUCACACCCUUUAUGUGCGGCGCUAACGCGAUAAGCACUCCCGCUGGGAGAUACCGGCCGCUAGGCUGAAACUCAAAGAAUUGAGCGGGGGCCCCGCACACACGCGUGUGACC
rnacentral:rRNA from 1 species